rnacentral:lncRNA from 1 species
CCUAUAUAAAGAGGAGUUAUUUUCUUCGGGAGAGCAUCUUCGGGGAGGAGGAGAGAAGCCAAGUUUCCCACGGGAGAAGAAGAAACAGGGGAGGGAGUGAGCCGAAUCCCAUGAGAGAAUAAAAAAUGAGAGAAAGGAAAGAGAGAGAAGGUUUCUUGGUUAUUUUUGGAAUAACUUCCCCUAAGAGCUAAGAAGGAGCCGUUCUCAAGGGAAUCGCAAGAGGGAGAGAUGGGAGCCCGCUGCUAUGCUGCUGCUGCCGUCUCCAACUCCAUGCAGGGCUGAUCUCUUCUCCAGGGCCGAAUGUAGCCCUAACAAAGGGCCAAGGGUUUUGUAUUUUUGAUUUAUGUUCUUGGAAUUGUAUAAACUUCUUUGAUCUUAAUGAAUAUUUCUUUAAUUCCAUAUUUGAAUUCUGUGAUUUUAAAUAUGAUGUUUAUACAAUUGCUCUUCAUGAUCACUAAAGUAAAUAUAAGAUAGUCCAUGCUAAAGGAAGAUGCGAUGUGCUGCCACCUUAGAUUAGGAUAGACAUUUCAUGCUAACUAAAGAUGGAUUAUGCCUAAAUUACUUUUGUGAAUUUUUAUUUAAAUGCUUAUUAGGCUUGUAGCCAAUUUGCAUGUUUAUCCAAGAAUAAAUUGAAAUAUAAAUAACC